rnacentral:rRNA from 1 species
AACGAACGCUGGCGGCGUGCCUAACACAUGCAAGUCGAGCGCGAAAAGGGCAACCUGAGUAGAGCGGCGCACGGGUGCGUAACACGUGGGUAAUCUGCCUUAGAGUCGAGGAUAACCUUCCGAAAGGUUGGCUAAUACUCGGUAAGCUUACGGUGUCUUCGGACGCUGUGGGAAAAGUAGGCCUCUGUUUACAAGCUUACGCUCUGAGAUGAGCCCGCGGCCCAUCAGCUAGUUGGCGGUGUAACGGACCACCAAGGCAACGACGGGUAGCUGGUCUGAGAGGACGAUCAGCCACACUGGAACUGAGACACGGUCCAGACUCCUACGGGAGGCAGCAGUGGGGAAUUUUCCACAAUGGGCGAAAGCCUGAUGGAGCCACGCCGCGUGUGUGAUGAAGGUUUUCGGAUCGUAAAGCACUUUCGACUGGGACGAAAAACCUUUGGCUAACAUCCAGGGGUCUGACGGUACCAGGAGAAGAAGCACCGGCUAACUCUGUGCCAGCCGCCGCAGUAAAAC